rnacentral:rRNA from 1 species
ACGCUCGACACCUACGGGAGUCAGCAGUGGGGAAUAUUGCACAAUGGGGGAAACCCUGAUGCAGCGACGCCGCGUGAAGGAAGAAGUAUUUCGGUAUGUAAACUUCUAUCAGCAGGGAAGAAGAAAGUGACGGUACCUGACUAAGAAGCCCCGGCUAACUACGUGCCACAGCCGCGGUAAUCUGAGCGGGCUGGCAAGGC